UACGUAGGGAGCGAGCGUUGUCCGGAUUUACUGGGUGUAAAGGGAGCGUAGACGGCGAUGCAAGUCUGAAGUGAAAGGCGGGGGCCCAACCCCCGGACUGCUUUGGAAACUGUAUGGCUGGAGUGCUGGAGAGGUAAGUGGAAUUCCUAGUGUAGCGGUGAAAUGCGUAGAUAUUAGGAGGAACACCAGUGGCGAAGGCGGCUUACUGGACUGUAACUGACGUUGAGGCUCGAAAGCGUGGGGAGCAAACAGG
rnacentral:rRNA from 1 species